AACGUUUAAUGUACGAUAUAUAUUUAUCUAAAUGACAUGCCAGCGAGGAUCAACAAUAUAAUUAUUCGUACAUAUUUGGGUAUCUUUUGUAUGCCUUCGCUUGCUGACUUGCUCACUAAUGAGAAUAAUCCGUGAAGCCACGACGACCUCAAAAUGUACUAUACUAUGGUCUGAUGUCAAUCCGAAGUCGAAGUUCAGAAUACUGUUAUAGUUUCGUAUAUUGGAUUUAAGCGAUAGAUUCAAGUCAUUUAUGAUAGACUUUUUUGCUGUGAUGCUUUGCUAUUGCUUUUGGUUUCCACUUCUAGUUUUAUUUGUUCGAUAGUCCUAUAAUAUAUAAUAUUAAAAUGAAUAAAGUUCAAAUUCUUCAAAAUGCUGUUGUUGACAUUUGCUAUUUUUAGUAAUUUUGUCAAGGAGUGUAAGCCAAUCAGAAGCCUGCGUUUCUAUACGAACGCCACUACCAAGAAAACCUAUCAUCCGUGCAGGCCCUCUAUUCUUCGCGCCGCCCGCAACCCAGGGCCUGUUCGCAGGCUAU